GAUGAACGCUGGCGGCGUGCUUAACACAUGCAAGUCGAACGAUGAAGCCCAGCUUGCCGGGUGGAUUAGUGGCGAACGGGUGAGUAACACGUGAGUAACCUGCCCUUAACUCUGGGAUAAGCCUGGGAAACUGGGUCUAUUACCGGAUAGGAGCGUCCACCGCAUGGUGGGUGUUGGAGAGCUUUAUCGGUUUUGGAUGGCCUCGCGGCCUAUCCGCUUUUUGGUGGGGUAAUGGCACACCAAGGCCACGCCGGAUAGCCGGCCUGAGAGGGUGACCGGCGACACGGGGACUGAGAGACGGCGCAGACGCCUACGGGAGGCAGCAGGGGGGAAUAUUGCACAAUGGGGGCAAGCCUGAUGCAGCGGCGCCGGGGGAGGGAUGACGGCCUUCGGGGUGUAAACCGCUUUCAGUAGGGAAGAAGCGAAAGUGACGGUACCUGCAGAAGAAGCACCGGCUAACUACGUG
rnacentral:rRNA from 1 species